AGUUUUUUAAUAGUUUCAAAAAGUUUUCCUGUGAUUUUUAUGUCCACAUGUGUCAUGAAGCGCUCACAGUUUUUAAUGUUUUGUUCAGUUUGGACCUGAGCAGAAGAACCUGACGUCUCUGUGGUGCGAUCGAACAUGACACACCUUCAGUAUCAAACUAAUAAACGAGUUUCAAUGGAUCAUUUGUGUGAACUUUGUCCCGUACAGCCGCUGCAACAGGCCAUAAAACUGAGGACAGCGUUACUGCACAGUCUUCUACACUCAACACAAAUAUCAACACAACACUAAACACACUUUUCUCGAGUUGAAUUCAAAGAUUUAAGACUUUUUAUGCACACAAGAAUGAUUUCUCUCAGCAGCAGUUUGUUAAAAUGUGUGUUAGUGAGCUCGUCUUCUCUGCCAACAUAAUCCACCCACCUGACAGGUGUGGCAUUAAACAGCAGGGUUACUACACAGGUGCUCUUUGGACUGGUCACAAUAAAACAUCAGUCUGAAAUGUUCAGUCUGAUCCCCUUCAGUCACCAGGAACAGCUCUGCUGGACAUUCCUGCAGCCAACAUGUCUCUUUCAUUGUGUUGUGAGAUGAAACAUCUUGAGUGACCUUUGAUUAAAACAUGGUCCUGCAGCUGAAACACACUGAUGAAGUGAAGAUGACACAGAUCCACAUUAAAGACGCGACGUUGGACCGAGGUGACGAUCAGAUCAGAGGGAGGAAGGUUAUCUUACCGUGCACGAGGAUCACAAACACCACAAACAUCUUCAUCUUCCUGUCACAACUACAACAAGCACAAAGUCUCUUUACUGAGCUUCACUUCAGAAACACAUGGAGGACAUCAGUUCACAGCCAGUCGUCACUUUGCUGCUGCUGACCGUCCACUGACUCCAGGACUGAACUGGACUUUCACUUUGAGCUGUUUCCUGUAAACCACCUGUUGGAAGCUGCUUCCUGUGACGCCCACCUGUUUGAGGUGUUUGAGAAGGUUUGACACGCAGCACUCUGCAGGUCGCAGGUGACUAGAGAGCCUGCAGUGAUACAGUCAGUGCUGUAUGGACUCUAGCAGCCUAGUUAAUGUGGUCAGUCAGGGACGUAGUGCAGAAAACCAGACUGAUAGCUGAGUUUGUAACACUGAGACUGUCACCUUCCCUCACCACUCUCUCACUGAAUCAUCCUCUAAAUGUGUAAAUCACAAUAAUCUCCUGUUGAUCUCCUCUGUCAGUGGGGAAAUGUCUCAGCAAACAGCGUCUGUCAAAUUACUGCCAAAGUAAAUAUACUAAAGUAUAUUCAGCACUCAGAUUAUUUGUUUGAAAAUAAGAGUUGUUUUAAAUCCGACUGUUGAUCCAAUAAAUGGCUUUAAAAAGUGCUGAUUCAGCUGUAAUCUGUAAAGUAACUAGUAACUAAAACAGUAUUUUCAACACAUGUAGUGGAGUAAAAAGUACAUGUUUGCAGAAAUGGAAAUACUCAAGUAAAGUACAAAUACCUCAGAAGUGUAUUUAGUGCAGUUGUGAAAACUAAACCUGGGCAGAGCUCAUGUCGCCCUCUGGUGGUUGUUUACAGGAACAUCAGUGAUGAACUCUGAGUGUCUGACAGGAAUGUUAGAAGUCAAAAUAAUCUCAAACUACUUUAUAAUAAAGUGCUCAGUGUUCACUUUGAUACGUUUCUCAGAGUUUUAAAGUUUUUAAAGAAUGAUUUUCCUCGCUGGCUUCAGAUGAACUGACGACCUGUUAGAGCCUCAAACUGAUCAAACAUCACAGAAUAACAGAAGAAGUAAAUAUGAAUUAAUCUAAUAUUUGCUUUAAAGAGGCUUCAGUGUUUGUUUCUGUUGCAGCUUUAUUGAUCUAUCAGUUAUGAUCAGUUGAUCACAUCGUGUCCUGGACUGCAAACAUGAGACAAAACCAUCACACAGUGCAGAACCACCAGAACAGAUUCCAGGAACAAGUCCAGUUAUUUAAGGCAGAAACGCUCAGAAUCUAAUAAACAGCUGAAGUCUUUUUUUUACAGUACAACAUCUGUAAACCACAAACAUGAGAUCAUGUCAUACAUACACUGGAUCCAGAGUCCAAACUGGACCAAACUCAACACUGCACUUCUGUAGGUCCUCAGCAACAAACCGGUACCGUGUGAAGUAGAACAGAUCAACGUUUGUCGAGAUAUGUGAAUAAAUUCAGACAGUUUCCAGACGACGAGGCCUCAAACACUCCACUUCAGUCUGUGAGGUCCCGGAGUUAAAGUCUCCUGAGUCCACAGAACCUUUUCUGGUCCAGUUGUUUCCAAUGAGCAGAAUGUGGAGGAAUGCGGUCCAGUUCAUUCAGCUCUGGACCGACCGGCACCGCCUGGAUCCAACGCUGCUGAUCCCCCCUCAGUGUUUGUGAGCACAGUCAGCAGCAACUGUGACCUCAGAACAUUCGUCUGCAAAACCUCCACAGCAUCAAAGUCCAACAGUCUCAGUGUGGUUAGUCUGACAGCGACUACAUGAGGCCGUGUGAUGAGUCUGAACCGUGGCGCCUCUACAAGCUCCUGCCACACUCCAGCUAACCUGCUAAUGUGAUCGUUUACAGGGUUGUUAGCACCAAAAAGCAUCGAUACACAACUCAGAGCUGUUGGUUCAAAGCGCUCCGAUGGUUCAGGCGCGUCGCGUAACAACGACGACUGCAACUGAAGACCUGAACCGGCUGGUGGAGAGAGACAGGAUGACGGCCAAUAGGAGGUCCUGAACUCAGAAGUGUACUGAGGUCCAGCAGUGGAAACGUUGUCAGAGGUAAUAAUCCUGCUGUGCUCAUGUCGCCCUCUGGUGGUUGUUUACCAGAACAUCAGUGAUGAACUCUGAUUGGCUGACAGGAAUCUUCAUCUGAUAUCUUAUAAUCUGUUCUUCAUGUGUUUCUGUGAAGAAAACAUGGUCCUGCAGCUGAAACACACUGAUGAAGUGAAGAUGACACAGAUCCACAUUAAAGACGUUGGACUCUAAAAAACACUUCAAAUAUGAAAGAAUCUCCAUUUAUUCAUUCAUUAAUUCAUCUUUUUUUGGUAAAAGCUUACAGCAAUAACUAGUAUAUGCAAUAUGUGUAUAUGUAUUUCACUUUUGAAUUUCCCUUAAAUUCCAUAUAAAGUGGCAUUAAAAGGUGUUAAAGUAUUAAAUGUGAGGUGUUUCUAUGUGUAGACACUCUGUAAAGGUAAUGAUACAUGUUGUUACUGCAGAGACCUGCUGUCUCUACAUCUGAGGUUGUAUUUACACUUUACUGUCAGAGUUCAAAGGAUCUAAACCACCAUGUGACAUCACUCUGACAUCACUCUGACAUCACUGAUCAACAGUCAUCAAUAGUGAGUGUGUCGACUGUGUGUGAGAGUCAGAGUGAAGAAGAAGCUGAUGAAGCGUCCUCCUGUCUUCAUCCGUCCUCCAUCAGCUCCUUCACCUCCAUUUAGUCUCUGAUCCAAAGUCUCAUCAGAUCAAUAUUCAAAGAUUGACCAACAGACCGAUC